ensembl:lncRNA
ACCGCAGAAAAACAUCUGUCCGGUUUAAUGAGAAGAACAGAGCUUGAGCUGCUGUAUCUACUAGAAAGCACCGUCUCAGUAUUAGUCAUGUGUUUCCUAAGUUAACUGUAAUAACCCUGACACCCACAUUAAAGGACCUGAGCCACAUCUAGAGACCAGAAGAUCACAGAGAUGUGAGGUUUAAGGACAAAGACAGCGUUCAACAUAACGUGGCAUAUGUUCAGCAGGUCUUUGUGAGGGUUUCAGGCCUCCGUUGACGGAUUGAGAGGAAGAUGGAGUGGAAGGAAAUGCUGUGCUUACGGAUCACAAUGUGUUCAGAAAUCAAGCAAGGCUCGUGUAAAAUCUCUCAGGAACCAAUCAAUGACCCAGCGAGGGGCCAGACACCAGAUGAUUGUUUGUGGCAUUGA